rnacentral:lncRNA from 1 species
CCUCAACAACCUCCCCUCCAUUGUGACAUUUCCGUUGUGAGGCUGUGUCGCCGCUGCGCGUCAUCACGUGUCGAUGGAGGCAUCGCAAUGCAACAGCCAAGUAUCGGAUCCGGCCUUCUUCAGCUCUCUGUUGUCUCCAUCAGCUCCCCUGGGGGCACUGUGACAUUUCCGCUGUGAGACUGUGUCGCCGCUGCGCGUCAUCACGUGUCGAUGGAGGCAUCGCAAUGCAACAGCCAACUCUAGAGAUGCCCAAUGCACAAGACUCCCGAUGGAAAGAGAAUGCCGAUGGAGUUGGGCUGCCAGGCCUUUUCUCCUAGGUUGCAGCACUGGUGGAGAGGAGAGGCAUCUGGAGGAGGGGAGCCAUGUCAAGCGCGUAUGAGCACACACCUUCUCUCUCGGGUCCUGGGUUCCUUUUUGAGCCGUGGAUGAGAAAAUGAGAGGCGUAAACAGGACUGAUUUCAAACGUUCUGCCUAACUAUCAUGGCAAAGAGAAGGAAGUCAUCCCCUAGAGUGAUGAACUAGCUUCUUCAGAACUUUCUUGGAAUGAGAAGAAAAUUUAAUUAAUCCAGG